CUGGCGGCGUGCCUAACACAUGCAAGUCGAACGAGAAAGUGGAGCAAUCCAUGAGUAAAGUGGCGACCGGGUGAGUAACACGUGACUAACCUGCCCUUGAGUGGGGGAUAACCUCGGGAAACCGGGGCUAAUACCGCAUAACAUCGCAAGAUCAAAGGAGCAAUCCGCUGAAGGAGGGGGUCGCGGCUGAUUAGUUAGUUGGUGAGGUAACGGCUCACCAAGACGAAGAUCAGUAGCCGGCCUGAGAGGGCGCACGGCCACACUGGAACUGAAACACGGUCCAGACUCCUACGGGAGGCAGCAGUGGGGAAUUUUGCGCAAUGGGGGAAACCCUGACGCAGCAACGCCGCGUGGAGGAUGAAGUCCCUUGGGAUGUAAACUCCUUUCGAUCGGGACGAUAAUGACGGUACCGGAAGAAGAAGCACCGGCUAACUCUGUGCCAGCAGCCGCGGUAAUACAGAGGGUGCGAGCGUNGUUCGGAAUUAUUGGGCGUAAAGGGCGCGUA
rnacentral:rRNA from 1 species